CCCACCGCUCGCACUCCUGUCGCGAUGACUCCGCCUUUGCCCCCGCGCGCUGCGAUGACUCCGCCUCCUCCCGUCCCCACGCGAUGACUACGCCCCCAAGCGCUACUCGCUCCCUCCUCCCAUCCCCGCGCUACACCUCGCUCCGCGCUUCCUCGCUUCUUCCCGUCGUCGCGACCAUGGUCUGCCCCCACCGGCACCGGGGUGGUUCCCCCUUUCCACUGGAGCCCUGCCUGGACUACCCCGACGGCGCCGGGGUGGUAUGCCCUUUCCCUGGACUAGCUGCGGCACACGCCAUUCUGGUCUGCGACUCUCCUCCUCUGAAGUCACUUUGAUCCCCUUCACAAGCCUGAGCAACCCAUGUGAAGGACGACGCCUCCGGCUACAUCGCCUCCAAGCCGUCGACUGCGGCCGGUAUACUGGAGGUGAUGAGGAGACCAGAGGAUAGGUUUGUGGUGAUUUCUUCCCAGGUGAAAAAGAAGAAUCCCCUUUAUAUAUACUCCAUUAGGUUUGGUUUGCUUCCAUUACUGGCGCACCGAGACAUGAUAUUUUGAUUUUCUCAAGCACCUACUUUUGGUUCGACUGGAUGAGGCAAUUAGCCAAACAAUAGCAGUGGUAGGGAUGCAAGCCAUGAUAGCCAUGGAGGCAAGCCUAUACCUCUCUGUCUCUUUUAUAUCAUUAUAUAUUUGUCUGAUAGAGUGUACGUUAGAUUCAUCUACAACUCGCACAUAGGGGGAAUCAUUUGAUCUCCGUGUUGAUAAUUUUGUUUUAUUUGACUCUAUUGUUGAGAUGUAUUAGGCCAUGGUAGGAUUAUUGUAUAUAAAAUAUGUAGUAAUCCAUGGUCAACUCUAGGUCCGCAACUUAUUUUUAUGCGUGACAAACACAGGAAUUUCUCUGGCUUUUCUGAUCCGAAUAUCUUAAGGAUAUCAAGGCAUGAAACUUUAUCUCGAUAAAUUUCUUGGUUGGUGUGUAUGUUAGUAAUCAUCGUACUUUACAUGUGAAAGUACCAACAUUCAGGUUCGUUCAAAAUAAGAAAAUGCUAAUUUCACCAUGAAUCAGAAAAUUAAUGUUUGGUAUUUGUUUGUUAAUGGCUAUGUAGGUUUAGUGGACUAAUGGUAUUUCUAUUAGAAUUAUUCAGAAGAGUAAAUUUCUUGGUGGUAAAUUCAGGCUAAUUGCAAUGUACUGCUUUCUAACCUCUAAUAAUAAUUUUUCCCAGUUCCGCCUCAACUGUUGCAUAUUUACUUACUUAGCUUCUUAUCCUGAAUGGAUGUUUUGGUUUUUAGGGAGCAGCAUUUGAUCCUCCUACAAUUGGAUCUUCAAAAACAAUUGUUAGGAGAGUACAUACCCAGACCUUUCUCAGCUUUGUAAUGGUCUAAAUACUAAAUUUGUUGUUUUUUGGUUCCUCUGUUUCAUAUUGCAGGCUAUUUCAUUGCUGCAGCCCACUACUCUUCUAGCUCUGCCGACAACCACACCUACAAGAGCUACAACUGAAGCAUCACAUAGGGCAGAUGAGGCAUCACAUGUCUGGCUUGGAUUCAAUUUGAUGUUGCACUUUGUAUAACUAUAUGCAGUUUCAGUUUCAUCUUCUGUUUCUACCACCUUGCAAUGUGAGUAAAUCAAUGUUAUAUUAACUUGAACCGAAAUUUUGAUGUUACAGAAAUUAAAUAAAUCUCAUCUACUAUAAAGAUUUUUAGUGGCCAUGUUUAAUGAAAUCAUGAGGUAAGUACAUAUUCAUGUUUUUUUAGAAAACUAGAGCUUCACAUAGACAGAUACCUAAUUUGUUGUCACUGGUAAGCAUGUUGUCGUUAGAGGAUUUUACAGUUUUCUGAAGUUUGUAAUUAAUUCGGUUCCUUUUUAAUGGGUUUCUCAUUGAAAUCGAGAGGGAAAGAACCAAACAAGCAAACAAUUGAAAUUAAAAGUAAGCUUGUUUUCUGCUUCACUUCAUCUUUUAUAUUUCUAUGGUAAAAUCCAGCCAUGUAGAUAAGUAAGAAAACAUAUAUAUGAACAUGUAUUUUCUAUUUCUACAGUUGACCUAAAAAGUAAGCUUCUUUUCUAUUUAUACAGUAAAAUUUGGCAAUGACAGAUCAUGAAGAUAACAUAUGAAUAUGCCAUUUCGUACCAAAAUUUGGAUAUAAUCUGGAACCGGCGAUUCACAUGGCUGUAUAGCAAAUCACUGUUUUAUAACAAAUCCAAUAUGAACUAACUUCCAACAGUGGGAAUACUUACAGAGGAGAAUAGAGAAGUGAUGCCUUGUACUAGAAUUGUCAAACAAUAAUAGCCGGCAACGAUUUAAGUGUAAACUUCUUAAUAGUCAUGGCAUUUCAGCUACAGUAGGGAAUAUUUAGACACAGGCAUUGGCUAUUUAAUUAUCUUUUGGCCUUGAUUUGGCAUAUUGAUGAGAAUUCUUUAUUUUGUUUUAUGGUGGCACUCUUGAAUCAUUAUGUAUAGAUAUUGAGCUUGCAUAUACAGGGACUAGGAGGAUUCUACAUUAUAGGGAACCAUCUUUGCCAGGUGUUCAACAAGUUUAGUGAUAGGACCCUAUAUGGCUUACAUAUAUUCAAAGACAUUAUAGUGAACCAUCUUUGGAUAGGGCUUCGCGUGAAGUUUGUGUCAUAUGGUGUACUGAUGCACAAGAGUGUCUUGCAUUUGCAAUUCUAUACCAUAAUCGUGCUCCACGACAUAGCCGUUCAUUCUGAUUACUUUCAAUGGAUAAUGUACGAAGCCCUACAAUGCAAAAUUGUGCCACGACAGGUACUAUUAUUUUUUGUCUGACAUUUGAUUUGUUUGCUACCUUUAUUUUACUUGCAGAAAAUUUUUAUUGGCCUAUAGAAAUACUCAACUGUAGUGUGUGUAUUAAAAAGUGAUUUUACGAGACUUGUUGCUGGGCAGCUGACUCUCAUUUUUCAUUUCUGACCAUACCCUCUUCAUGCCUUACUUGCUGCUCUUUAUUUUGUUGGGUUAGGACUACUGCUUGACGUUCCUAAUAUGACUGCCACUUAUCUAUAUCUUUUGUUGUCUAAAAAUUGAUAACCUUUUGAAGGCUAAGAAAGAGCUCAAUACAUCUGUGUUUUCAUUCCACUGAAUGAUGCUAUUCUAUAAGACAAGUUAUGGUCUCUAACUGGCUCCCUGAUUUUAACAGUUAAACCCUCUCGAUAGGUAUUCCAAAUCUCUCUGUACAUAUCGAGUAUAUGAUUAUAGCGCUACCAAAUAUUGGCCCAUCCCCAUCAUCACUUGAUCAGGCAGAAGCUAGCUGUCGAGCUCUCCAUAAGGAUUAUGCGAAUUGAAAGCAGAUGCAGAAUGUUUUACAUAGGUAACUAUGUGCUUUGCUAUUAAUAUGGUCUGUCAGUCUGAAGAUUAAAUCAAUUGAGAUGGAUCAACUAAUGGCCUUGUUGCCUGUUUUUAAGUUGUAUAUUACACGGACAUGGAUGGUUUCAGUUCAACACAGAAGUAAUUGAUAAAUGGAGCUUCGAUUUUUCUAUUAUAAACAGUGCAUGUCAUGGCUUCUUUUUUCUGUUGAUGUACUUUUGGCUUUAGUAAAACCUGCACCUAUUGACUGAUGGUAAUUUGAUAUCUGCAAUAACUGCAUCUUGCCGUUCCAGAAAAUUGUGCCAAACUAGGUCUCUGUAGCUUUCUCUUGGCCCAUGUUUGCCUCUUUUUGUUGACGUUACGUCGCAGUUAUUAUAUGAAUUGGUUGAUUGAGUAAAGAUUUUUUUUAGAUAAUGAUUGAGUAAAGAUGUUAUAUACUUUUAAUGGUUUGUUAUUCAGCACAGAUAGUUGUAUAUUUUUAUUGCCUUAAGAGGGAAUACCAAUAGAUAGAAAUUGCAGCAAAGAGUCCUUGCAAAGAUAUGGCUCUUACUAGAUGAUAGGUAUGUUUUAUGGUGGGCUGUUGUUUUCAGAUGUUACAAUUUGCAUACAUGAAUGUCGAAGAGUCACUUUGCUGAUGAAUAAAUGGAGAAGAAAUAGUGAGUUUAGAAUUGAUUCUUUUGUUUUACCGAAUUGUAUUUUGUGAACUGUUUAUGACAAGAUAAUGAAAAUGGUCACGGACAAAGAUGAAAGUAAUGAAUUCUGUACUCCUAUGUCCACAUCCAAGCUCUGAUCUAUAAUUGUUGGCUUCCAAAAAGUAGCAACAUCGCAAUGUAUAAAUUGUGCUUAGCAAUUUUGUACCCUCUAAAUAUUUUUAUCUUUGUUGGUCAGAAAGUAGUGAUUCAACAGAGUGGUUUUAUAGAGAUAACCAUUCAGAUUAUGGAGUGCAUUACAUUAAAAAAGAUUGCAUAGAUUUUUCUUCA